rnacentral:rRNA from 1 species
CAUAGGUUAAUGAGGCGAACCGGGGGAACUGAAACAUCUAAGUACCCCGAGGAAAAGAAAUCAACCGAGAUUCCCCCAGUAGCGGCGAGCGAACGGGGAGCAGCCCAGAGCCUGAAUCAGUAUGUGUGUUAGUGGAAGCGUCUGGAAAGGCGCGCGAUACAGGGUGACAGCCCCGUACACAAAAAUGCACAUGCUGUGAGCUCGAUGAGUAGGGCGGGACACGUGGUAUCCUGUCUGAAUAUGGGGGGACCAUCCUCCAAGGCUAAAUACUCCUGACUGACCGAUAGUGAACCAGUACCGUGAGGGAAAGGCGAAAAGAACCCCGGCGAGGGGAGUGAAAAAGAACCUGAAACCGUGUACGUACAAGCAGUGGGAGCACGCUUAGGCGUGUGACUGCGUACCUUUUGUAUAAUGGGUCAGCGACUUAUAUUCUGUAGCAAGGUUAACCGAAUAGGGGAGCCGAAGGGAAACCGAGUCUUAACUGGGCGUUAAGUUGCAGGGUAUAGACCCGAAACCCGGUGAUCUAGCCAUGGGCAGGUUGAAGGUUGGGUAACACUAACUGGAGGACCGAACCGACUAAUGUUGAAAAAUUAGCGGAUGACUUGUGGCUGGGGGUGAAAGGCCAAUCAAACCGGGAGAUAGCUGGUUCUCCCCGAAAGCUAUUUAGGUAGCGCCUCGUGAAUUCAUCUCCGGGGGUAGAGCACUGUUUCGGCAAGGGGGUCAUCCCGACUUACCAACCCGAUGCAAACUGCGAAUACCGGAGAAUGUUAUCACGGGAGACACACGGCGGGUGCUAACGUCCGUCGUGAAGAGGGAAACAACCCAGACCGCCAGCUAAGGUCCCAAAGUCAUGGUUAAGUGGGAAACGAUGUGGGAAGGCCCAGACAGCCAGGAUGUUGGCUUAGAAGCAGCCAUCAUUUAAAGAAAGCGUAAUAGCUCACUGGUCGAGUCGGCCUGCGCGGAAGAUGUAACGGGGCUAAACCAUGCACCGAAGCUGCGGCAGCGACGCUGAUGCGUUGUUGGGUAGGGGAGCGUUCUGUAAGCCUGCGAAGGUGUGCUGUGAGGCAUGCUGGAGGUAUCAGAAGUGCGAAUGCUGACAUAAGUAACGAUAAAGCGGGUGAAAAGCCCGCUCGCCGGAAGACCAAGGGUUCCUGUCCAACGUUAAUCGGGGCAGGGUGAGUCGACCCCUAAGGCGAGGCCGAAAGGCGUAGUCGAUGGGAAACAGGUUAAUAUUCCUGUACUUGGUGUUACUGCGAAGGGGGGACGGAGAAGGCUAUGUUGGCCGGGCGACGGUUGUCCCGGUUUAAGCGUGUAGGCUGGUUUUCCAGGCAAAUCCGGAAAAUCAAGGCUGAGGCGUGAUGACGAGGCACUGCGGUGCUGAAGCAACAAAUGCCCUGCUUCCAGGAAAAGCCUCUAAGCAUCAGGUAACAUCAAAUCGUACCCCAAACCGACACAGGUGGUCAGGUAGAGAAUACCAAGGCGCUUGAGAGAACUCGGGUGAAGGAACUAGGCAAAAUGGUGCCGUAACUUCGGGAGAAGGCACGCUGAUAUGUAGGUGAAGUCCCUCGCGGAUGGAGCUGAAAUCAGUCGAAGAUACCAGCUGGCUGCAACUGUUUAUUAAAAACACAGCACUGUGCAAACACGAAAGUGGACGUAUACGGUGUGACGCCUGCCCGGUGCCGGAAGGUUAAUUGAUGGGGUUAGCGCAAGCGAAGCUCUUGAUCGAAGCCCCGGUAAACGGCGGCCGUAACUAUAACGGUCCUAAGGUAGCGAAAUUCCUUGUCGGGUAAGUUCCGACCUGCACGAAUGGCGUAAUGAUGGCCAGGCUGUCUCCACCCGAGACUCAGUGAAAUUGAACUCGCUGUGAAGAUGCAGUGUACCCGCGGCAAGACGGAAAGACCCCGUGAACCUUUACUAUAGCUUGACACUGAACAUUGAGCCUUGAUG